rnacentral:rRNA from 1 species
GACGAACGCUGGCGGCGUGCUUAACACAUGCGAGUCGAACGGAAAGGCCUGCUUUCCCUUGUGGAUUGCGGGUACUCGAGUGGCGAACGGGUGAGUAACACGUGAGUGAUCUGCCCCCAACUUGGGUAUAAGCCUGGGAAACUGGGUCUAAUUCCCGAUAGGACUGCAGGGUGGUGCCUGUGGUGGAAAACGAUUUUCCAGUGGUUGGGGAUGAGCUCGCGGCCUAUCAGCUUGUUGGUGGGGUAAUGGCCUACCAAGGCGGCGACGGGUAGCCGGCCUGAGAGGGUGGACGGCCACAUUGGGACUGAGAUACGGCCCAGACUCCUACGGGAGGCAGCAGUGGGGAAUAUUGCACAAUGGGCGGAAGCCUGAUGCAGCGACGCCGCGUGGGGGAUGACGGCCUUCGGGUUGUAAACUCCUUUCGACCGCGAGGAAGCCACCUGGUUGGAAGGGUGGUGACGGUAGUGGUAGAAGAAGCACCGGCUAACUACGUG